GUUUUUUUCUCUUGGUCUGACAGUAUCUUCAGUUCUCCAUGGAUUUUUGCCACUUGAUCUUAUGGCCUACUACGUGAUCAUACCAUUUAACCAAACUGCUAAGCUUCAUUUGCUAAGGUAAUUAAUUCACUUUAAAUAUCUUACUCUACUUUGUGAAGGCACUGUUGUAAAAACAUGAUAUUCAGGACCUCAGCAGUAAGAAAGAAUCUGGGAGAAAAUUAAAUUAUUUUUCCCUCCUAUUGGCCAACAACCACCCUUUUAACCCCCAAGAAUAAAUAUGUCAUUAUCUGAAAAAUAGAGGCCCUUUAUUUUAAAAUACCAAGUGUUGUUCAACGUUUUAAACCUAGGUCCAGUUUGAAAAACAUGAAUUAAUUUACCACCAAUUUGUUUGAUAAUAUGUUUCUAGAUACUGCUUGUCUAUAACAAAGAUGAUAAGAAGUAACCUUUUUUUUCCAUAGCAGUAACCACAAAUGCUUAAAAGUUCUGAAAGAUAAAAAAAACUGGAGACCUUGGGCUAGUUUUAUAUUUCUGGAAGUUCAAUAGAUAAAGCAUCAUGAAUCCUUUUGUGAGACUAGAACAGUAUCAAUAGCAGAACAGUAGUUCUGAUGAUCUAAUUCAAAAGCCAAGAAGUCAUUUGCUUAGUGAUUGUGGUUGAUCAGAUAAAGCUUUCAAAAUAUGUAGCUCAUAAGAAAAAUAACAAAUGAGGCACUUGACAAUGUAGUAUUUGUAUGUACUGUCCUGAGGUAUUCACAAGGCUCAGAAAUUUACAAUAUAAUAUAAAUGUAUAAGGUAGCAAAGACAAACACAUAUAAGGAAAUACAGAUUUGAGUGCUGAUUUGUAUAGUAUAAGUUUGUAUUCAAGUGAAGAAAAAGCUUGUGAUAGGUAGAGCUUAGCAAAGAUUGUCUUACCCAGGAUACUUUUAAUGUUUUAAGAGUAUAAGAAAUGGUUUGGUGGAAAGUAGAAGGGGAGAAAGAGCACACAUUUUGGUGUGCAAAAUGGAGAUCCAGAGAAAGAGAAAGGAAGGUUUAGGGAAAUACGGAAGCAGCCUGAAUGAAGGAGGGAAUUACCCAAGCACCCUGGGCAACAUGGCGAGAUGUUGUCUCUAAACAAAAAUAAAAAAAUCAGCUAGGUGUGGUAGCACAUGCCUGUGAUCCCAGCUACUCGGGAGACUGAGGUGGGAGGACUGCUUGAGCCCAGGAGGCCAAAGCUGCAGUGAGCUAUGAUCAUGACACUGCACUCCAGUCUGAGUGACAGAGGAGAUCCUGACUCAAAAAAUUCAUCAUGGUAGCCAUGGCGGUAAUGGAGAAGAAAAGAUACUGUUCAGGCAGGCUAAAUACAACUAACUCAUUGUUUUAAAUUUAAGGAGUUUAAUCUUAAUUCAUGCACAAUACAAAGUCAUUAUAGACACUUCAGAAGAUUAACUGAAAGAGGAAAAAAGAAAAGAUUGGUUUAAAAAUAGAUUAAAUUUACAAAGUUUCAUGGUCUUUGCAAUAAUUUUCAAGAUAUAUCAGGACAUUUGUCUCUAAUUUUAUCAUGAAUUUGUCUCUAAUUCACAUUAAAAUUAUUACAGUAAUUGAAGCAUGAGAUGAGUAUGGCCUGAAGUAGGCUGGUAGAACUGAAUUGAGUCAUUCUGAAGAAGACACAAAACUUGGUGAUUGAUGGGACAUGAAGAGGGUCAAAAGUGACUCCUAGGUUUCUGCCAAAGUGAAAAGGAAAAUGGUGUGCCAUUGACCUGUCCUGAGAACUAAUUAGUCUGAUUUUAUUCUUAACAUUAAAUUAAGUGAGUUGGAGUUCCUUAAAGAGAGAAAUUAUUGGUAUCAUAAAUCCAAAACUGCUCAUCUCCUUUAAAAAUGAUUCUUCUUCAGUUACUCCAUAAGAUUGACCCUUCAAAUCAGGCAGCCAAUUUUGUGGUUUAUUUAUAGUAAUGACAUUUAAAUGCCAGAUGUUUAGCCUGCUAGUAAUAUCUAUGAAAGGAUGUAUAUUCAGGAAUAGAAAACUCUACCAGGUUACACAGGAGAAUUCAAUUUUUCAAAAAUGCUGUUUCUCUUUGUGAAACAGAAAAUUGUCAUGCAAUGUAUUUUUUAAUUGAAACACUCAGCCAUAACUGUACACAUAGAUUAUGAUGUUACUUGUAGUAAAUUUUAAAAAUCUUUCUCCCUCAAAUAAAGUAUAAACAAAUCUAAA
rnacentral:lncRNA from 1 species